rnacentral:rRNA from 1 species
UACGAAGGGGGCUAGCGUUGCUCGGAAUCACUGGGCGUAAAGCGCACGUAGGCGGCUCUUUAAGUCAGAGGUGAAAUCCUGGGGCUCAACCCCAGAACUGCCUUUGAUACUGAGGAGCUUGAGUCCGGGAGAGGUGAGUGGACUGCGAGUGUAGAGGUGAAAUUCGUAGAUAUUCGCAAGAACACCAGUGGCGAAGGCGGCUCUCUGGACAGGUACUGACACUGAGACGCGAAAGCGUGGGUAGCAAACAGG